rnacentral:rRNA from 1 species
AGAGGCCACUGCUAUCAGAGUUCGAUUAAGCCAUGCGAGUUGAGAGGUGCAAGACCUCGGCAUACUGCUCAGUAACACGUGGACAACCUACCCUACAGAAGGGGAUAACCCCGGGAAACUGGGGAUAAUACCCUAUAGACUAUGGAUGCUGGAAUGCUCCGUAGUUGAAAGGUCCGCCGCUGUAGGAUGGGUCUGCGGCCGAUUAGGUUGUUGUUGGGGUAACGGCCCAACAAGCCUGUAAUCGGUACGGGUUGUGGGAGCAAGAGCCCGGAGAUGGAUUCUGAGACACGAAUCCAGGCCCUACGGGGCGCAGCAGGCGCGAAAACUUUACAAUGCGGGAAACCGUGAUAAGGGAACUCUGAGUGCCCGUAAAAUCGGGCUGUCCAUCAGUUUAAAUAACUGGUGAAGAAAGGGCCGGGCAAGACCGGUGCCAGCCGCCGCGGUAAUACCGGCGGCUCGAGUGGUGGCCACUAUUACUGGGCUUAAAGCGUUCGUAGCUGGUUUGUUAAGUCUCUGGGGAAAUCUUCCGGCUUAACCGGAAGGCGUCUCAGGGAUACUGGCAGACUAGGGACCGGAAGAGGUGAGAGGUACUCCAGGGGUAGGAGUGAAAUCCUGUAAUCCUUGGGGGACCACCUGUGGCGAAGGCGUCUCACCAGAACGGCUCCGACAGUGAGGGACGAAAGCUGGGGGAGCAAACCGGAUUAGAUACCCGGGUAGUCCCAGCCGUAAACGAUGUGCAUUAGGUGUAUCGGUGACCACGAGUCACCGAGGUGCCGAAGAGAAAUCGUGAAAUGCACCGC